CAACCACCACAAAUAAUACUAAAGCAUGGGCAUUUUUGAAAUAGGGAUGGGGCAAGUGAAUCUUGAGCUUAAGAUAAAGAGAGGAAGAAGUUUUUAAAACCCUUGUGCAAACCAACAUAGUUUCUCCUACUCUCAAAUGCACUACUCCACAUCAUCUCACUUAUCAACACAUAACAUCGCAACACAUACCAUACGUCACAUGGACUCACAAGGCAACAAACACAAAAGACAAGGAAAGAAA
rnacentral:lncRNA from 1 species